rnacentral:rRNA from 1 species
AGAGUUUGAUCAUGGCUCAGAGUGAACGCUGGCGGUAGGCCUAACACAUGCAAGUCGAACGGCAGCACAGGAGAGCUUGCUCUCUGGGUGGCGAGUGGCGGACGGGUGAGGAAUACAUCGGAAUCUACUCUGUCGUGGGGGAUAACGUAGGGAAACUUACGCUAAUACCGCAUACGACCUACGGGUGAAAGUGGGGGACCGCAAGGCCUCACGCGAUAGAAUGAGCCGAUGUCGGAUUAGCUAGUUGGCGGGGUAAAGGCCCACCAAGGCGACGAUCCGUAGCUGGUCCGAGAGGAUGAUCAGCCACACUGGAACUGAGACACGGUCCAGACUCCUACGGGAGGCAGCAGUGGGGAAUAUUGGACAAUGGGCGCAAGCCUGAUCCAGCCAUACCGCGUGAGUGAAGAAGGCCCUCGGGUUGUAAAGCUCUUUUGUUGGGAAAGAAAUCCUGUUGGCUAAUACCCGGCAGGGAUGACGGUACCCAAAGAAUAAGCACCGGCUAACUUCGUGCCAGCAGCCGCGGUAAUACGAAGGGUGCAAGCGUUACUCGGAAUUACUGGGCGUAAAGCGUGCGUAGGUGGUGGUUUAAGUCUGUUGUGAAAGCCCUGGGCUCAACCUGGGAAUUGCAGUGGAUACUGGAUCACUAGAGUGUGGUAGAGGGUGGCGGAAUUCCCGGUGUAGCAGUGAAAUGCGUAGAGAUCGGGAGGAACAUCCGUGGCG